UGAUGGAGGACAUCUGGUUAUAGGUACUGUA
rnacentral:piRNA from 1 species